rnacentral:rRNA from 1 species
AAGAGCUCAGAUUUGAAAUCGUGCUUUGCGGCACGAGUUGUAGAUUGCAGGUUGGAGUCUGUGUGGAAGGCGGUGUCCAAGUCCCUUGGAACAGGGCGCCCAGGAGGGUGAGAGCCCCGUGGGAUGCCGGCGGAAGCAGUGAGGCCCUUCUGACGAGUCGAGUUGUUUGGGAAAAAAAGCUCCAAGCGGGUGGUAAAUUCCAUCUAAGGCUAAAUACUGGCGAGAGACCGAUAGCGAACAAGUACUGUGAAGGAAAGAUGAAAAGCACUUUGAAAAGAGAGUGAAACAGCACGUGAAAUUGUUGAAAGGGAAGGGUAUUGCGCCCGACAUGGGGAUUGCGCACCGCUGCCUCUCGUGGGCGGCGCUCUGGGCUUUCCCUGGGCCAGCAUCGGUUCUUGCUGCAGGAGAAGGGGUUCUGGAACGUGGCUCUUCGGAGUGUUAUAGCCAGGGCCAGAUGCUGCGUGCGGGGACCAGGACUGCGGCCGUGUAGGUCACGGAUGGUGGCACGCCUCCAACACCGCCCGUCUUGAAACACGGACC